UAAACAAAACCAUGCACAUUUAGACAUCGAAAGACAAAACAUAAUGCUGGCAAAUCAAAACAAUGAACAACAAAUCACAGACCACAAGAAUUAAAAAAAACUACAUACAAUCAACAAGAAAAACUUAACAAACCUAAGCAAAACAAAAACAAAUAAAAUAAACUGGAAACAAAAAAAUCUAUGCAAGCAAAACAAAGCAAGGAACAACAAAAACGAAAGUGCAAUACGAGCCACUAAUGCUUGGAACAUCCAGGAAGAACAUGCCAACUCCCCCGCUAUCAGACCUACAAUCUCAACAAUAUACCCUUCUCACGAAGGUGAAGGUGAUUUUUAUUUGCCGCUGCUUCAAUGUCCACAAUACCACAUCUUCUCGCCAGCUCUUCAAAACGGAAAAAGGUCAACUAUCAAAGUUUGUUUAUUUUCAAAAACACACGACAAAGCUAUCAAAAACUUUACUAUAAAGCUGCUCUAAAACAUCAAUCUGCCCAUUUGGGAGAUAGAUAACACCGACAACCACUGAGAAUUCAUUACCAAAAUUUUCGACAAAUAAAGAUUCACAUAUACCGUGCAUAUAAACUCGAAAAA